AAAACCACAGGAAAAGAGCCAUAUCAACAACUGACCUGUGGCCAAGCGUUCAUAGCGACGCUGCUAUUUGAUCUUUCGAUGUCGGCUCUUCCCAUCAUAUGAAGCAGAAUUCAGUAAGCGUUGGAGUGUUCACCCGCUUCUAGGGAACGUGAACUGGGCGUAGACCGUCGUGAGACAGGUUAGUUUUAUUCUAGUGAUGAAAUGUUGUUGCAAUACAAUAGUAACUGAACUUUGUACAAGAGGAACCGUUCAUUCAAAUAAUUGGUAUUUGAACAGGCCAUGGCCCGAAGCUAUCAUCCGUUAGAUUAUGGCCGAACGCCUGCAAGUCAGAAUCUGUGCUACAGCGCGCCGAUUACCGCCUUUCCCGAUAACUAGUUGAAUUUGAAUGGAGUUUCGGCUCCUGGAUCAUGCUUGCUACGCGGAAUUAUCUUGUGGAACGGAAAGACUUGAUGAGGUUCCUGUUAAGGUUAAUUCCAAAUAUUGGAAAAGAUAAAUACAUUGCAGACGUCUUUAAUUGAACGGGGUACUGUAAGCUGUAGAGUAGCCUUGUUGCUACGAUCGGCUGUGCUUAAGCCUAGUGUUCUAUAGAUUU
rnacentral:ncRNA from 1 species